UAUAUCUCCUGCUCUCAAAGCUGCUUCAAGAUUGUGUUCUAAGGAUUAAGACUUCUACAUUCCUUCUCCUCAUGACCUUGGAGUCUACAGUGCUUGCAAUAUUUUGCUUGGUCUUGUCUUAUUUGCUGUGGCCAUAUCUACCGUCAGUGG